AGCGCCUGCAGGAGAAUCAUUUCUAUAGUAUUCGACCUUCUCUUGGUUCCCUACAAGAGCCACAGAACCUACCCUGGUUGAUGAGUGUAUAUCCUCGACGCCCUAGAGUGAAUAUUCCUGGUCCUCUCGCUCUGUCCGCAAGGAUGGCGGCGCUGCGUCUGACGCGGCUGCUGUAUAGAGAGAUGUGUUUUCCGGAACUGCUCUUGAUGAUCUCGUCCCCGUCUGCGGUCUGCCCUUGGGCGCGCGGGCGGGGUGGGUGUCGGUGGACGUCUGACAGGC
rnacentral:snoRNA from 1 species